CCCCUAAGUCUGGGAUACCAUUUGGAAACAGGUGCUAAUACCGGAUAAUAAAGCAGAUCGCAUGAAUCAGCUUUUGAAAGGCGGCGUAAGCUGUCGCUAAGGGAUGGCCCCGCGGUGCAUUAGCUAGUUGGUAAGGUAACGGCUUACCAAGGCGACGAUGCAUAGCCGAGUUGAGAGACUGAUCGGCCACAUUGGGACUGAGACACGGCCCAAACUCCUACGGGAGGCAGCAGUAGGGAAUCUUCCACAAUGGACGCAAGUCUGAUGGAGCAACGCCGCGUGAGUGAAGAAGGUUUUCGGAUCGUAAAGCUCUGUUGUUGGUGAAGAAGGAUAGAGGUAGUAACUGGCCUUUAUUUGACGGUAAUCAACCAGAAAGUCACGGCUAACUACGUGCCAGCAGCCGCGGUAAUACGUAGGUGGCAAGCGUUGUCCGGAUUUAUUGGGGCGUAAAGCGGAGCGCAGGCGGAAAAAUAAGUCUAAUGUGAAAGCCCUCGGCUUUAACCGAGGAACUGC
rnacentral:rRNA from 1 species